GACGAACGCUGGCGGCGUGCCUAAUACAUGCAAGUCGAACGCACAGUUUAUACCGUAGCUUGCUACACCAUAGACUGUGAGUUGCGAACGGGUGAGUAACGCGUAGGUAACCUGCCUGGUAGCGGGGGAUAACUAGUGGACACGAAAGCUAAUACCGCAUAAUAUUAAUUAUUGUAUGAUCAUUAUUUGUAAGUUGCAAUUGCACGACUACCAGAUGGACCUGCGUUGUAUUAGCUAGUAGGUGAGGUAACGGCUCACCUAGGCGAGGAUACAUAGCCGACCUGAAAGGGGGAUCGGCCACGCUGGGACUGGAACACGGCCCAGAAUCCUACGGGAGGCAGCAGGAGGGGAUCCUCGGCAAUAGACGAAAGUCUGAACGAGCAACGCCGCGUGAGUGAAGAAGGUUGUCGGAUCGUAAAGCUCUGUUGUGAGAGAAGAUCGGGUGUGAGAGUGGAAAGUUCACACUGUGACGGUAUCUUACCAGAAAGGGACGGCUAACUACGUG
rnacentral:rRNA from 1 species